rnacentral:rRNA from 1 species
AGUAUUGAACUGAAGAGUUUGAUCAUGGCUCAGAUUGAACGCUGGCGGCAGGCCUAACACAUGCAAGUCGAGCGGAUGACGGGAGCUUGCUCCUUGAUUCAGCGGCGGACGGGUGAGUAAUGCCUAGGAAUCUGCCUGGUAGUGGGGGACAACGUUUCGAAAGGAACGCUAAUACCGCAUACGUCCUACGGGAGAAAGCAGGGGACCUUCGGGCCUUGCGCUAUCAGAUGAGCCUAGGUCGGAUU